rnacentral:rRNA from 1 species
UGCAGUCGAGGGGUAACAGGAGAGCUUGCUCUUGCUGACGACCGGCGCACGGGUGCGUAACGCGUAUGCAACCUACCUGUAACUGAGGGAUAGCCCGUGGAAACAUGGAUUAAUACCUCAUAAUAUAUAGUUAUGGCAUCAUGAUUAUAUUAAAGAUUUAUUGGUUACAGAUGGGCAUGCGUUAGAUUAGCUAGUUGGUAGGGUAACGGCUUACCAAGGCUACGAUCUAUAGGGGUUCUGAGAGGAUGAUCCCCCACACUGGUACUGAGAUACGGACCAGACUCCUACGGGAGGCAGCAGUAGGGAAUAUUGGUCAAUGGAGGCAACUCUGAACCAGCCAUGCCGCGUGAAGGAAGACGGCGUUCUGCGUUGUAAACUUCUUUUAUCCAGGAAGAAAAAGUUUCUUGCGAGAGACCUUGACGGUACUGGAAGAAUAAGCACCGGCUAACUCCGUGCCAACAGCCGCGGUAAUACGGAGGGUGCAAGCGUUGUCCGGAUUUAUUGGGUUUAAAGGGUGCGUAGGCGGCUCUUUAAGUCAGAGGUGAAAGCCCGCAGCUUAACUGUGGAAAUGCCUUUGAUACUGGAGAGCUUGAGUAUAGUAAAGGUAGGCGGAAUUGAUAGUGUAGCGGUGAAAUGCAUAGAUAUUAUCAAGAACACCAAUAGCGUAGGCAGCUUACUAGACUAUAACUGACGCUGAUGCACGAAAGUGUGGGUAUCGAACAGGAUUAGAUACCCUGGUAGUCCACACUGUAAACGAUGUUCACUCGAUGUUGGCUAAAGAUUGUCAGUGUCCAAGCGAAAGCGUUAAGUGAACCACCUGGGGAGUACGCCGGCAACGGUGAAACUCAAAGGAAUUGACGGGGGUCCGCACAAGCGGUGG